CUGGCCACCUACAACGUCACCGUCAGCCAGCUGAAGGUGCUGGUGGGCAGCAUGAAGGCCGGCACGGGCGCCUGGCCGCGCCACUCCAGCAAGCUGCUGACGGUACUGCGCCAGAUGCCGCAGCGCAGCAGCCCGGACACCUUCUUCAUGUUCCCCGGCAAAACUAACUCGGCGAUCGUGAUCCCGCCGCUGGCGCGGUGGCCGUACGAAAGCGGCUGGACGUUCGCCUGCUGG